AUUGAACGCUGGCGGCAGGCCUAACACAUGCAAGUCGAACGAGUGGCGGACGGGUGAGUAAUGUCUGGGAAACUGCCUGAUGGAGGGGGAUAACUACUGGAAACGGUAGCUAAUACCGCAUACCAUCGGAUGUGCCCAGAAGGGUUUAGCUAGUUGGUGGGGCAAAGGCUCACCUAGGCGACGAUCCCCAGCUGGUCUGAGAGGAUGACCAGCCACACUGGGACUGAGAAACGGUCCAGAAUCCGACGGAAGGCAGCGGUGGGGAAUAUUGCACAAUGGGCGCAAGCCUGAUGCAGGCAUGCCGCGUGUAUGAAGAAGGCCAUAGGGUUGUAAAGUACUUUCAGCAGGGAGGCGUUACCCGCAGAAAAAGCACCGGCUAACUCCGUGCCAGCAGCCGCGGUAAUAC
rnacentral:rRNA from 1 species